UACGAAGGGUGCUAGCGUUGUUCGGAAUCACUGGGCGUAAAGCGCGCGUAGGCGGCCAAUCAAGUCAGGGGUGAAAUCCUUGGGCUUAACCCAAGAAUUGCCUUUGAAACUGAUCGGCUUGAGUACUGGAGGGGAUAGCGGAAUUGCUAAUGUAGCGGUGAAAUGCGUAGAUAUUAGCAGGAACACCGGUGGCGAAGGCGGCUAUCUGGACAGUAACUGACGCUGAGGCGCGAAAGCGUGGGGAUCAAACAGG
rnacentral:rRNA from 1 species